GUGAGGAAUAUUGGUCAAUGGGCGGGAGCCUGAACCAGCCAAGUCGCGUGAAGGAAGAAGGAUCUAUGGUUCGUAAACUUCUUUUGCAGGGGAAUAAAGUGCAGGACGUGUCCUGUUUUGUAUGUACCCUGAGAAUAAGGAUCGGCUAACUCCGUGCCAGCAGCCGCGGUAAUACGGAGGAUCCGAGCGUUAUACGGAUUUAUUGGGUUUAAUGGGUCAGCGGUGAAAGUUUGCAGCUUAACUGUAAGAAUGCCGUUGAAACUGUCGGACUUGAGUGUAAAUGAGGUAGGCGGAAUGCGUGGUGUAGCGGUGAAAUGCAUAGAUAUCACGCAGAACUCCGAUUGCGAAGGCAGCUUACUAAGCUACAACUGACACUGAAGCACGAAAGCGUGGGGAUCAAACAGGAUUAGAAACCCGGGUAGUCC
rnacentral:rRNA from 1 species